CUAUAUGUGAUCAUUUAACACACUGGUGUUAAGUUCAUUCUUGCUGGAAAAGAAGGCCAUUGUACUUCCUGACCCCGAAAGCAAGAUGAGGUAACUGAGACACCAAAGGUUAAUUGCUUGCCUAAAGCCAUGUAGCAACUCUGUUGGAGCUACUUUAGUGUCAUAAAGCUCCACAUAUAUACUUUUAGCAAAAUCAGUAGUGACCCAUGCGAAUAAGGAGAUGGUAAUUAGAGACGGGACAGACCUCAAUGUGUCCUUCACUUGAAGACAGAGUAAAUUCAGUGAGGUACCUAAUUCUUUUCAUUUUCUUUCCCAGAAGAAUAUGUGUUUUUUCCCUACCCAAAUGUUUCAGUGAACAUUGCAGCUGUGCAUCAAGAGUCAGUUUUACAUGCAUAUAUUC